rnacentral:lncRNA from 1 species
UUUUUUUUUUCCGUCUGCCCUUCUUUUAGAAAGGAGAGAAUCGUUUCUCCUUUUUUUUUUCCCCCUUUCUCCAUUCCAGUUUCCGAAUUGUUUUCGUGAUGCGUGGAAUGGAAGUAUGGGACGAACAAAAUCCUCCGAAAACAAGGCAACCUCAUCCGCCGGCACCGGUUCCAACAAGGGGCGGCAUGGCAUGGCAUGGAUUGGCAACCACCACCACGCCCGCUGCAGCAACACGCGCGUCAGCGCCAUCUUCCCUCAUCACGCCGGUGCCGUAGCCCACGCCGCGCGCAUCUCGCCUCGCGCGGCAGGCCGUGCGCGGAUGCUGCGAGCGCGGGCGGGCGCGUGGCCGAAACCGCGGCACGUACGCCGCGUCGGGUGGUCGCGGGGAUUUGAUCUCCCAGCACAUCUUCCGCGCGUACUACGCAACGCGCAUCUGGUCAGUCUGUUAGGCAUAGGACACUGAUCGCAGUUUCAUUUCAGCACAUAUCCUGGCACACGAAAAAUCUUCCGGGAUUUAUGUUCUUGCUACCUGUCAGGCUGUCAGCUAUCGGUCCCGCGUAACCUUGACGCCUCGCGUUUUUAGCCUGAAUCCGAUACCCCUCUCCAACAAACUGUCAAAAAGAAAAAAACAAAGGAAUUUGUAUGCAGCGUACUAGUUUCGAGGUCCAGGUGCAAGUACACCAGGACCAGGGAAACCUUUGAUCUCCAGUAGCUGCAGGCGGAUCGGGCACAAAGAUCUUCCCUAGUCGGAACAAGGAUCGUGUGGCCGCGACGCCGCGACCUCGCAUCGCCUCUGGGCGCUCCUCUGGUUGCACCUCAUCUGUGAAUUGACAGCUGACCAGAAGAAAAUCAUGUGGCCUGACAUGGCCCUGAAUGGUGAGUGGUGACCAAGACCAACUAAUCACACAUCCAGCUUGCUGACCAAGACCAACUCAUCACACAUCCAGCUUGCUUGAGACUGCGACUCUGCGAGCGCGCACCCUGACCACAAGCGCACCGGAUUGCAAAAAUCGGACCUGGGCUGGAACCAUUGGGAGCUAUUCUUUUCCAAGUCAAGAUUUACCACUGGGAGAGUUCCUUCCAUCUCAACCAAGUUUCUGCGCCACGGCGUGUGAGAUUCAGACCACAAAAUAUUUGACACUAAAAAUGGCUCGUAGCAGGAAAACACAUGAGCGCAGGGACCCAAAUUAAACGUUCUCGCCGCUCACGUUUCUGCGGCGACCUGCACUUGCGCUUGGACAGUUUGACAAAUUUAAUGCCUCGCGUUGCAGAUUUUGCAGUACGCUUAAAAUUCAGAAGAAGAUGAAAAAAAAAAUCACCUGCCACUCAAAGUAGUGAGUGGUUCCAGACGAGCCGGAAACGUGCGGCGGAGGGGGCACUGCACACGGCAGCCGGAGUCGCCGUCGCGGCGGGCCGAGUCGUGCGUGAUCAAAUUCUUGGAGCACGACGCGCGCUUGUUGUGGAUGCCAGCGGCCCAGGACUCCCCGGGGAUAGCGAAAAAGAUAGCUCAUUGCUCCACUCCACAGGAACAAGCCAACCCAGCAGUUGGUGUGCACCUUCCUGCUUUCCUGGGGGCAAUGGUCGUGGGCUCGUGGCCAUGGAUGCUCCAGCCGGCGACAUUAACCCCUCGCUUUGCUUUGCUGGGUUCCCUUCCUAUCCUGAUGGGGUGAUUGCGUAGCUUUCUGAAUUCAUGAUAGGUCCAUCAUUGUUAAAGGUUGUGGAUAUGGAUUGAGUCUAGAUUGACGAUGAGAACAGGGCAUUCAAAACAUCGUAACACGGGAGUGAAGGAUCAGGCCAGAUACACGCAGGUCCUUCAGAAGCAUGCAGUCGAUUUGAAAGGAGAACUAAUGCAACCAACAAAUACAGAUACAAGUGCCCCUUACAAGUUACAAGGAGCAGUUAACAGACUUCCUCGUACAAUUUCACGGGAGAUCGCCACCGUUGGAUUUAGAUUUCCAGUGUUGAGGAAUCGUCAAGGGCACCAGCACAUCCGGUAUUCCAGGAUCUCAAGGCGAGAUCAUCACUGAGUAAGGCCAAGUGGCCAACACAAUGCACAGCCACAAAAGGAGUUGCCACUAGGUCCAUAUUACCCAAAAGCUGGACUCGCAAUAAAUUCAAGGAGCGUUGGAGCGUCACCUUCCUUAUCUGCAUAGUUUAUCAUCAAGGUUAUUUCUUUUAGCGAAUUACUGGUAGAAAUGAAGUGUUAGGCAAAUAAUAUGGUGUAACGGGUGAAUGAUGAAAUAAUCAGUAGCGCAUGGCGCUUUAAUCAUUGAAUCUGAAACAAAAUACAAAAUAGCAUUAACGAGCAGAAAGAUAAGUGCAAGCACCUUUUAGUUGAGCGUCUAACUGGAGCACUGUCUGCUGAGUCCUCUACGACAGGAUCUCUGGUUUUCUUUGCCCUUGAUCUUGACAAGCCUGCAUAAUACAUGAAAGAUAAGUUCCUUAAGAUGCUUGAUUUGUUGUGUCGAUAUCAAAGCUGGAACCAUGGGUCACCUUUGCGGACAGGUUGCUUUGACUGAAUCUCUUCGCCACCAUCUUCUGAUCCUGUAGAUGUUGAUGUCUGACAAUUUUCCGUAGAAAUAUUGCCACUGCAUUCUGGCAUGUUCUCCUUAUCUUCAGUGCUGCCAUCCACUGAAGGAUCAACUACCUCACUAGUUUCUUCUGUCAAGGGCAGAAAAACAGACAGGUGAGAACAUUGUGCAAGGCAAAACUGUAAUACCAUCUAGUGCGCAGAUCUAUAUAGUCCUUAACCAUAGAAGAAUAAAAAGUUUGUUUACAAUCAUCACAUGAUGGACACAUGGAACAACCACGUGGAAAUUAAUCAACUUAUGCAGUUAUGUAUCAUAGAGGAUAAGGAGAUUCAGAAAUAAGUGAACACUCUUCUGUUACCUUCAACAGAAUGUCCACAACUCUGCCCAACUUCCUUACUAGCCAGAACUUCGUCAAGCGAGCCAAUUCUCUGUCUGUGUGCCUCAGCAUUUUUGGUUGUCUCUUCCUGUUCUUUCUUUUCCUGAUGAACCUUGCUAAGUUUCUCCUCAAAUUCCUCGAUGCAAACUUUGAGCUCAGGUUUCGCAAACUUCUUGCACUGAUUAGAGGAUCACCAUAGAUAAGUGGGUGGGAAAUGUUCAAAAAUGUUUGUCAUGCUUCAUUUAGCAAAUGUCAGGCCUACACAACCAUUAAGGCUAUGCUACCAACCUUUGAUAUCACGCUUCUGAAGUGGUUCAUCACAGAAUCUUCAGAUAAUGCAUACUCAAACAUCUUAAAAUUGUCGAUGAGUUUCUUCAGACCCUUUUCAGUGAAGGUUAGCUGAGAGAGGCAAUAAGAGAUAUACUCCCACUGUCUAACAUCUGAAGCACAUGCAAAGAAAGUGUCAGACAUCUGAGAAUGGGGUAAGAGGCCAACUGUCUCAAGAAGACCAAGGAUUAAAUGACAAAGAAGCAAACUUUUCAAUGUAGCUAAAUUGUCAGCAACCACAAGUGCAAGAGUCAAAAGUGGAAAUACCAAAUCACAAUUAUAUGUGCUCUCUUUUUCCUUAUAAUUUUCAUUUCCCCUUAUAUGAUGCGGUGACGCUGCCCCCUAUGCUGAUACAUGCAACGUUGACCACCUUUUUCUUUCACGAUUAUUUAUCACUUUAUAAGUGCAAAGGUGGGCUCUUUCUCGUGUUGAACACACACAAACACAAUGAGCAGGAAGACCACACACAGUUCUUGCAGCACUGCCCAUCAGCACCCUCUUGCUUUUGCGGCACUGCACACUAAUACCCUCUUGUGUGUUUACAAUGAUUUUAACAACAAAAAACACGCACACAAUAUGCUGGAAUUCAUCCGCACGACUCGGCCAAAACAUCCAGGAUCACCUCCCUCUAGUAACAAGAUUAACGCCAACAUUACCUCACCAAGUAUCAUUGUCCACUUAGCUAGGUACCAGACCAACUAAAAAGAAAAGCACAACUUCCUUAGUAUGAAUGGUGGUAAAAAAAGUGACAGGUACUAGCAACAGAUGGGGUUUUAUUUAUCACAUAAUUUCUUAGACGGCAGUGGUUGAUCAAUAUAUUUCUAUUGAAGCCAUAAGCAUAAUACCAUUUACACCAGCAAACCUAUUGCAGAGCUUAUCCACAAGAGCUUCCAUUUGUUUUUCCUGGGACCACAGUGACAAAAGUAUAUAGUUAUUGGCAAGUGAAUAUCAAGUUCACUGACAGUUUAUAACAAGUGAAACAGUAAUACAUUAUACCUUUUUAAUAGAGCUAAUUAAGAACUGCAUAAUGUUGCGAAAUGUUUCGUCUUUGAGGUGUUGAUUGCACAGUCUGCCCAGGAUAUCCGGAAGAAGAUUAUAAAUUGGAUUGCUUCCUUCGGAGGUCAACAUUCACCAACAGGGGAAAGGCAAAUGUUAGAUAGAAGUCAAACUCUGGUAUUCAAGUUCAUCAUUCAAUGUUGCUGACACAUGUUAUCAUACCUUUCUUUGACAACUCAUGAAAGAAGAGUUUUGCAAGGCUUGAGAUCCUCUCAUUUUCAUCUUCUAUCCUUACAGCCAUUUCAUUUAUAUAACCUUUAACCUGCCAAAGAUUUCAAAAGCGUCUGAAAAGUAAUAGAAUGAUGGUAGGGAAGGUGCUUGUGUGUGCAUGAGAGGGCGGGAGGGAGGUGGGCGGGAUGUUGACCUUCAUCAUAUCAUUCAGUAUAAGAUGAGAAAUAACCAGCACUGCAUUCUUCCUGACAGAUGCUGAAGGGUCACGCAAUCGGGCAUAUAUAUACUCUGUCCAAGGUUCCAAGAGGUUUGGGAAGCGAACUGCUAAAUCACCAAGAGCUAUAGUGCAAUUGGAUCGGACAAUUUCAGAAGGUGCACUUUCAGCAACAGUAAACAGAAUUUGAAGAUUUGCUUCGCUGAAAAUUGGGCAUUUGAUGUGAGGGAGUGCUUUUAUGAAAUGCACAUCAGUUCACAAUAUUGAACAGGUAGAGCCGUGUGAAAGAAAAAUUACUUACCAGAAUUCUGGAUCAAUGAUCAUUAGCCUGCAAAGAGCAAGCAUGGCAGAAGCUUGUAACUCUGGGAACUGCAUCAGAAAAAGGAAGAAAUUAGUAGGUGCAGAUAGUAAUGGAAACAAAUGUUAAAGAAAAACAGGAAACCCAACAGACUAACCUUUUGCAGCAAAGUCAGAUUCCUGCAGAGUUUUGACAGAAAUGGUCCACAAUGUCCUAUAAGAUUCUUUUCUGAAGAACAGCAAACAAUCUCCUUUUCCGCCCUUUCAGCAAGGGAUUCAAUUGCGAUAUCUAUUGUUGCACCCAGUCCCAGUUCGGCAUUUAUGCCUUGUGCCUGUUGCACAAUAGAGCACAACCAGUGAACUUAAAUGAAACAAUGACAGGUCAAAAUUGACAAGGUAAGAAAGGAUAGAGAUUUAGCAGUCAACAAGAAUUACCUCCGAACUUUUAGAUGCAUCCAACUGAGGAUCCUCACUGAUGGGUUGAGAAUUCUCAUUCUUUCGCUUCUGUUUCUGAAUUUUUCUAACAGAAGUUUCGAUGUACACCAAAUGAUUCAGUGCAAUAUGGCUAAUAACAAAAAGAAACCUACCCAGUUUUGAAGGUGGUAGUGAUGACAGAAAGGCAUCAUUCUGAGUUUCAUCUCCAUUUGACACAUCCUCAGUUCUUAAAACACUGAAUACUGAACUGAGGGACUUCUUUGCAAUCUCAGUAGCAAAGAUUUCAGGUGCAGGGUGUAAGGUAUAGAUGGUGCUUAUAGCUUUAUCUGCAGCUCCAUACCAUAUUUUCUCAGGUAGCGAGAAGCUUGUUGUCAAACUUAUCAGCGCAGCAAAUACUCUACUAUUAGUACUUAUCAGUUUGCUUCUGUCUUCUUCUGACAAUCUCUGCAGAGCAAGACAUGCAGUUCUAGCAAGCAGAGGCUCCUCCUUAGCCCAGCGUCCAAACCCAAUGUCAAUAAUAUCUUGCAAGUGAGUACCCAAAAUGCUGGGAGACGACUUUGCUGCCAUACAAAGAAUUGAUAAAGCCCCACGGCUUUGCACUGGUUUCACUCCACUGAUGUUAAAGCAAAAAUAGUCCCACAGUGCCGAUACCUGUAAGGGGUGAUGAGUCUUAAAAAAUAUCCUCCUCACCAGCAACAUAAGAGAAACAUUGAAGUGAAAUAAUAGAAUUCAACAAAACCGUUAUAUUUGGAAAGCUAAGCUUUAGAUUCAGAUGAAUACAGUGAUCGGAGAAAUAAAGACAAUGUAGACACAAAAAAAUCAAUUCCUUCUGCCAGUACAAUGACCUAGGACUUUGAAGACAAAAUAACUUGCAUCAGAGUGUAGAGAAGAUGGUGGCAAAUUUAUCACGAAAUAUCUUAUUUGCUCCAUGUUUCGAAAACAUUGGUGCUCAAUUAACUCAGUUUAUUGCCUCAUUUUUUCUUCACUAGUGAAUUAUAAAUUGAUAGUAGAACUGACUAGUUAGUUUAACAUGACUAGAUUCGUCAAAGUGGUAGCGAAAACAAAUUGGAAAGGAAAGAAGACUGCACCGUGCUAGAUGAAAUUUCUGCUUUUGAAACUAACGAGUUAACUAGGCACUCAAGAGCAGCCAGGUCACCAAUGCUGCAAUCAAUGGCUAGGUUUAACAAACUUUUCGCCGUUUCUGUUGCACUUUUCCUUGUGUAUAUAGUAAUGAAUGCACUCUCCACUGCUUCAUAUAUUGACUUAUCCUGAGAAAAUACCUGCAGAAGUCAAAGGGUCAACAAAAUGUUAGCAAAUAUAAGAGAAAAAAGACAGUUUUGGGGAUAUUACCAGAGGUAACAUUUUCCUGAGUGCUGCUUCUGAUCCUUCGAUCUGAAAUUGUCUGCAUCUCAUUAGUAAUAGAAUGGUGUUCUCAACAUCAGUAGCUGAAGAUGAUGCCAACAGCUGAACAAGAGUUGGCAUUAAGGAAGUUAUACACUUUGAAAACCGCAGACCAGCUUCAAGUGAUGCAACUAAAGCUCUGAUCUGUUCAAGGUUUGUUAUUUCCACAAUCGUGGGAUCAGGAUUGUUCUGAUCCUGACUAUUAGCUACACAGCUAUCACUGACACUAUCGGGUUGGCCCAUGACCACUUCACCGGGCGAACUAUCAUCCACAACCUCAUCUUGGUCUGGAUUUGGAGGAUCCAUUCCUUCUAAUUUUUCCUUGUACUUUUCUAGAGUUGCCUCAAAGGUUGAAGUCCUUAACUGAGGUCCAAAAGGGUUGUGUUGCAGCAUGGUGAUGAGAAGUUGUAGCGCUGAUUUUCUUACAAUAGCACUUUUGUCCUCCAAUCUCCCCGAAGCAACUGAAGCCACUUCAUUCCACAGGCCAAUUGAGAUAGAGUUUUCUUCACACAGCUCUGCCCACACCUGAAGCACACGACUCCUUGUGUAUGCUGACACAUCCCUACAGCGCUCAAUCAAAAUUUCUAGCAUAGCCUGCUUACUUCUGAGCCGAGCAGUGUUAUCACCCUCAACAUCUUUGAAAGCCUUUGCAGCCAGCUUUCCCAAGACUCCAACAAGAGCAUUUCUGAUCUUAUAUGAGUCACCACCAAAGUGAGGCACCAGAACACCGAUAUUGGUUGACAUAAGCUUCGGCAAGCGGUCUGCUAGUUCUACAAGGAAUCUCCCAACAUUAUCAGCACCAACACUAUCCCUUACAUAAUCUUUUGGAUCAGUCCGACCUAUUUCCCUAAUCAGGGAAAUUGCAAGGCUUCCAUCACCAAACUUUUUCUCUGCAGAAGCAACUGUUUCCGCAAGAUGAGCAACUGUGAAAUCGAACUUGUGGAUCAAAUGCAAGACAGAUGCACUGAUUUGAGAAAUCCUCUGAUGCUUUGUGGCAAUUGCUCCAAUUAUCCUGCACAGGCCAUUUCUUGUAUCCUCAUCUUUUAACCCAUUUUGAUUCUCAUAGAGAACAAAAGUACACCUACAUGUUAUCAAGAAAGAAAUGACAUUACAAUAGGUAGGUUACUGGAAAGCACCACACUACCAUAGCCAGUUUCCAGAACUUACUUUGAAACAAAAGAGAGAUAUCGUUCAUCCGUUCCUCCGGGGCCAAAAAGUAGUGAUAGGUCAGCUUCAAGAGAAUUAGCUAUUAGAUUCAUGAUCCUGCCUCUUUGAGCUUCCCAGUUCCAAGUAUAUACAGGAUUCUUCUUUCGACCAUGUGCUGUUACCUAGAUUCUCAUGGAAGAAUAAAAUCACUUAAAAUACAUGAAUACGUAUAAUCUGGAUAAUCUGUAACUUCCGCACAAAAAUCACCUUAGCCCCUGUGCAGCUUUCAGCAGCAGAUUCCUCCGUGAGAACGAUGGAAAGGAGAAAGAAGGAGUAGAUCUUGAGGGCAUUACGGUGCGAGGCAAUGCGAUCAGUGAUUGGGGUAGCAUCAGAAGGCGAUGACAUGGACGCACGAGAAAGUGAGUCUAUGUUGGGUAGAAGGACACUAAGGUUGGAGCGCAAGGUCUCAACGAGGUUAAACUUAAGGCCUGGAGGCAGACAGUUGAAAUCACGCACAACAGAAUAGAUGCUAUCGAACACCUCCUGUUCCUCAAUGCAGAAGAGCUCCUUGUCAGAGAGAUCAAAUGAUACACCUUCAGUUUGAAUCAGAAUAAGAACAGAGUCAGUUCAUAUUGAUAAGAUUCUUUCAUUCAAAAAACAAGAACACUAAAGCUUGCUAGAUCUGUACACUUAUGGUAGAAGAGAUUUCUAAUCGCAUGCUACCACAAAGUAGACAAGCCAACAUUAUGAAAAGCAAGACUAUGGCAUGGAAAUUAAGGGAUAACGUCCUAUGGCAUUAAACAAUCACUAAUUUUGCAGAGCUGACAAUGGAGAACUAAGAUCUAUGAAUAAUUAAGCUAGCAAGCUUAUGCAGGGCCGUUAAAGCAAAACUCAUAGUAACUUAUGUUAGCUUUUCGCAUCAGAAGACACCUUUUUCCAAAAUCAGAUCAAGUUUCUUAACCCCAGCCAUAUAUAGUAGUACGGUUAAGUAUAAAAGCAACGGUAAGACCACCAAUUUCAAAAUUAAAAUACGAGCAGCUCAAAAGGUUCAGUUCAAGUGGCCGCGUGCUUUAGUCGCAGGCUUAAUUUUUUACAUAUAUGCACCGAUUUGCUUGAGAGAAGGCCUUAGGGAUACCAGCUACAUCCAAAUCACAAGCUCCAAUUAGUACGGCCGACCAACAAAACCCUAUUCCAGUAGAAUUUUCAGCAGGCAACGAUCAAAAUCCGAAUCCAGAAUCCACAUAAUUCCUAAGGACUCGGGCAACCCCCGACCGGAACAGCAAGUGCGCGCGGUUGGGGAAGCGGGGUAGGCGGCGGCACGUUACCCUUGACGAACUCCUCGAGGUCGGCGGCGCGUAGGGUGGCGACGGCGACGGGGUUCUGCGGCCGGAGCGAGGGCUCGUCGUCACCGUCGGUGUCCCGCUCCAGAUCCCGCAGGCUCGAGGGGAACACGAACGGCGGGGCCAUCUCGCCGCGGGCGGGCGGACGCCGGCGAGAGCAGGAGAUGGGGGUCGGGGGAGUGGAGGGGUUUGGGUUGGGGAAUGGGAGCGGAAGAGUUGGGGAGUGUUUCGAAAUCGAGAGCGGGAGGCGAGAAAUUUUGUGAGCGAAUCCCCCGUAUGACAGGGAGGACCCACGCGUCAUAGAUAAAGAUGAAGGUGCCACAUGCCAUGGCCCAUGGGUGGUUUGAAUACACGCCUAGCUAGUAUUGACCGUUAGUCCCCCAGUGACGGUCCACCGAUCAGCAAACAGCUCAUUGAGGUAACGCUAACAUAUUCACACUAGCGAUGCGUUGGGUGGUUGAGUCUAUGCUAAUUCAAGAGUACGUGAAUAUACAACGUGACAAGGCUUUGUGUUCGCCAACUUACCGUUUUUCAUCUUACUAUCCUCUCGAUCAAGCAAGGAUAGUUGGUCAGCAGCAUGUUAAUGUUUUGUUUUAGGUUUUCGCAUCCUCAAGUGUUAAGUUUGUUGCGGUGGUUUUGCCAGCAACUAUCUUUGGUCAAUGACUAGUCUAUAUGUGAUGCGGGAAUUACCACUCCUUUUGUAUGGUUACGAUGCUAAUAAGGGAAGAGGGCUAUCAAGGUUAAGCGGAAAAAACCAUCUAUACUUUUUUUUUUGCAGGAAGAGGGAAAGGAUACCAAGAUUAAGUGAAAGUUCCCACCGUCUAUGGAUCUCUUCUCCUGAUUUACUUCCCGCUCAGGAUCAUUUCAUACUUAAAUUUAAUUUAGAGAAUCAUAAAUAAUCACUUCUCACGAUGAAUAAAAAUAGACGGAACUCUGCCAAAUAGGAUCCAUAGUAUGUUCGUCUGGACGUUAGAUACGGGAAUAUACUGAAGAAAUGUUGCGGAUGGUCUCGUCGCGAUCCGACAAAUAAAGGUCGUGCUGAUUUUAAAAAGAUUAACAUAUCCCAUACAUUUGACAGGUGGCCCAUCUAUUUUCAUGACCCAGCAGUCAACUGGGGAUUGAAGUCACUGAAACCUCACACAUAUCACAUAUGACAUAUGUCAACACGCGAUACAUAUACUUUUCUUUUAACCAAUGUGAGCGUGAUAGUACGAACUUACAGUCCAGGAACGGUAUCACACCCGAACAACAUUUCUUUUUUGCACUGAAAGUGGACAGGAUGCUGGCGCGGGGGGUCACUCGGUCACUCUUCAGUCUUCACUGCCUACCAAGGCCAGCAACAUGUCCCUGUAGCCGAAGGAAGUGUCGCCGGCGACGUCGAGGGUUACGGCGCUCUUGUACCUCGCCAUGUACUCCUCCUUGAUCCGCUUCAUGUCGAGCUCCGCCCGCGACACGAUCACCCUGGUGAGCAAGUCCUCGUACGUCCCCACCCCCAAGAUGGAAUACCUGAUCACCUGAAAAACAAGAGCACGACGCCCUGGGUGUCAAUGCCAUCUCGACAGUUCAUCAUCUGCUCGGGUCCCAACUUCUUCGACAUACCUGCGCAAAGUGCUUUUCAGGCGAGGUCAAGCACCAGACGGCGCUCUUCAGCAUCCUGCCGAACUGGCUGCUGCAUCGGCUGUUGAUAUCCUGAAUGGACGAACACGCAGCUGAUUAGCUGAAGAUUCAACUCAGAAUGUUUGGAGUUUUCAGUACUUGCGUCCAGCUCAGUACCUCAGCGAUGUCUCUUCCUUGAUCCUCCUUGUACUGCUGGAACGUCGCUCUGAGCUGAGACUUGCUACGGGUGCUGAUGAUCCGGACGACUUCAUUUCCGUGCAGUUGCUUCUCUCUGAUGGCUUCUGACAGCUGAGCCGCCUCCAGCUUGGCCACAUCCAUGUCGACCUGCUCUCCGGCGUAGCGGUAGGAGCUCACAAGGCUCACCAGCAUCUGCAUGCAGAGGAGAACAUCGACGCUUGAAUCCUAGUCCUUUUUCUGAAUUUCUGGUGAAAGUACCAUGCACCCAUGGAAGGAAUUUACCUUCUUCAGAGGUUCUCGGAGCGCAGGAGAAGAUGCGACAUCUUCCUCGAUGGAGCAACUGAACAGUUUGAGGUAGAUCUUCCUGACGGCCAAGAGAUGGUCUGGGGUGGAUGCGCACGACACUUCGAUCAGCACCAGUAUGUAGUUUUCAUCCUUCUUCUUCACUGCUUCGUGAACCAGGUUUGCGUCUCUUUCAGCCGGAUCCAUCGUCCACAAGAUCAGCGCUUUCUGAACCAUGAAGGAAACAAAAAUAUUGGCACAAAAAGGGGAAAAAACGCAUCGGAAGUUCAGAACACUGCCGGCAUUUGAUCAACCGGACCAGACAAGCAGUCUUACCCAGAAAUCGACGGAGAGGAGGCAGUAGUGUCGGGAGAGCUUGUAGCGGAAGCAGUUGAGCAGGGGCUCCCGGUAGAGGAACGCGUAGGCGCGCCGUAUCGCCGCCCGCUGCGCCGCCGUCCGCCGGCACAGGAUCCCGACCAAAGCAGCCUUGUCCGCCCGCCAUCCUGCAUCGACGGACACGCAAGGAGAGGUCGCCGACGCCGCGUCAGUUGCAAUUGCAAUGCAAAAACGGAAAAAAGAACUGACAAGAAAAAAAAAGCAACCGAAAUAAAAUCCAUGGCCUGGCUGCGAGAAGCUGUGCAUUGCCUUGGAGCGCCUUCCUCAGGCUCUCGGCAUCCUCGGAGGCCGUCGGCGGCGGGCUCGGGACGGCGACGGUGGACAUGGCUCCCGAUCCUUGGGCGGCGAUGUCGGUGAAAUGAAGGUACGCGGCGAACAAGGGGAUCGGAUUUUACAUAUAGUUUUAUACUGGGAACAUAUAACUUUAUUCGCUUAGAAUUAAUAUAUCUUCAAACAACUCACGCAUGAUGCGAUGGCCAAUCGGCGCAUAUCCAUGCACGCUACGUACACGAUUACAUAUCUUCGUGGAACAUGCUUCCUUGCUCAUUAAGUUUUUCCUCACGUCUAAGCUUGUUUUAAGGGUUCAUCUGCUAAGCUUUAGCAAAGUCUUGUAAAGAUAUACUCGUAGGGUCGUAGCAGCAUGGCCGAAAAUCAUAAGUAAUAUACAGGCUACGAGCCUACGGUUGGUACUACGUUUCUUAAAGGGAUCAACAAAAAUAAUGGAGCACAACGCCAUGAAAGCUUUAAAGCGAUCUCGUGGCCUCUCCAUUUCCGUUUUCAACUGAUUUUUUUUUCUUUCUGAACUCUGUAGCAGCAGCAUCCACUAGCCUAAAAAGAAGAAGAAAAAGGGACCCAUUAGGAGGCAUGGCCUCGUGGGCCUUGUUCAGUAAGAUUUGGGCCUGAUCCCUGUAUGUGGGCUAAAAAUGUUUUCCGGCCAGGCCAUGCAAGAAGCUAGAUUUGAUGGCCCGAGAAAAAGGGCCGGAGUUGCACCCGAUAGCAGGUGAGGCCCACUAGGAGGAGAAAAAUCAGGGCCAUGACGUGCGUGAGAUUCUGAGAUAUCUCGUGCUCACGCCGUCGCCGACCUACCACCAUUCACGGUCACGGCCGGCGCCGCAAGCCGCAGCCUGGCGGAGGGGAGUGGAGAAAGUAGGAAUGGGGAAGCGCCGGCGCGCAGCGGCGCCGGUAGGGGAGGAGCUGAUCUCGCCGGUGAACAGCCUGGACGACGGCUGCCUCAUGCACAUCUUCAGUUUCCUUAGCCCAAUUCCAGGUUCGAUUCGCACUUCUAAUCUUACGCUUCCCCCAUCUACCUAGGAGAAACAAUCAAGUGGCUGAUCCGUAACCGCUGGGAAAACACCUUAUUUUCCCUAUUCGUGGUGGAAUUGCCGAAUUCGGGCGGAUGCCGAAGGUGCAGGGUAACGGGUCAAAACUAGAUUUAGACUCUUUCUUUUAACAUGGACAUAGAUUUUUUUUGUGGAAGAUCUGUUGAACUGGAUAGUAAUUUGAUGCGUCAGGGUGAAAAAUCUCUGUAGAUGCUUGUGCUGUUCACUUGAAUCGAUGUAGUAUUAUGCCCCUAGUUGGGUGCAGUUAUGCAAAUAACACUGUGGUUUUGGGUAAUGUAUGAUAGACGUUCCCGUGGUUUAUCGUGUAAUAGUUCACUAAAAAGGGUAAUUUGAGGUGUAUCUCCGUUGUUGUGCAAAUUGGUACGAUUUGGGAACAGUGUAUUUGGUUCUGGCGUACCAUAUAUUUAGAGACUGAGGGAACUUUGAUCUUUGUUCCACUUGACACAUGCUGUCUUAUUGUAAAAUGUAGCUUUGUCUCAGACGAUCUUUUACAAAAAUUGGAGUUUUAGAUGGUUAUUACUUAGUAUAGAACUAGGUGAACAUUAUUGUGGAAUUUUUCUUUGUUCACAACUCAAUUGAUUUCAAGUUUUCAACCAUUCAAAGUUGAUAUGUUUGAACUUUGAAUUUCUCUAGCUUUUAGCUGUGGUGGUCCUUGUAAUAUUUAUUUUCUGUCAUUUAAUUUAAGAUGAACUUCUUUUAGCAAUUUCAUUGUUGAACCUGCAGAUAGGUAUAACACCGCCCUCGUUUGCCACAGAUGGCGCUUCCUUGCAUGCCAUCCUCGGCUAUGGUUGCGUGUUGAGAGGCCAAUCAGAGAUGUGAUGGAGCCUGGAGUUUAUCCAAAUCUUGAGGCUGCCGUUUCUGCUGCUAGGUUUGUUUUUCUCUCUUUGAGUUUUCAUUGUGGAUAGAGGAUCUUAUGGCUGAUUUCCAUGUACCUUGUUGAAGGCCUGGUGACACCAUUCUUGUUGCGGCUGGUGGUACCCAUGUUGCAUGUAACAUCCAAAUAAAGAAGACUAUUUGCAUUGUAAGUUUUGCCUUCCAUGUCCCUGAGCCCUGAAGAUGUCAACAGAGAUUUGAUCUGACGAAUGCUUCCUGCACUGUGCACGAACUUCUUUUUUUGUGGGUGCAAUUGUGAAUCCAUUUUGCUUCCAUCAGAUUGGUGGGGGUGAACUUCCCGAUGAUACUGUAUUAACCUGUUCACGUGGCUCUGACAAGUAAGCUCUUUUCCUCUGUGGCUAUUUUUCUUGUCUACUGUUGCUGCUGCUUCCUAAUCAUUUCAUAGUGGCACUAUGGUGGUCCAUAGAUUUAAUACGGUCAUGUUUCUUAACUUCCAGUAAAUUGCCUGUGAGGUUUCAUCUUUAGUACACCUUAAAAAGGCAAUGCUUAUAAGGUUUCCUGUAAAUUUACAUCGGCAGCAUGGUGGUUUGCUUAUAUUGACACAGCGAUCAGUAUAAUAUAACCGAAUCUAUACAUUCAUGAUUUAUGGGGUGCUGCAGUAGUGGAAAGUAAAAUUUACCAUGAUUUGUUGCUGUAUGCUUGCUGUAAGGAUAUUAAUUCAACUAUAAUGGAACCUUAGCAGUUUUUGUCUGCAUGAUAGUUGAGAGCAUGCAGUUUGUUGAUCUCAUCUUUUCCCAUCAAAUUGAGGUGUUACUGUAAGUUUUGUCUACUUCAGGAAAUGGUGAACUUGCAAAGUGUGAUGUGGUUCUGGUUACUUUCUGUACAAUCUAUCAGUCUUACCUUACCUUUCUUUGAUUGGCCUAUCAAACAGCGCAUUGGAGUUUCUAUCGACAUGCAAGAUUGCAAAUUUGACUAUUAGAGCAGAACUUGGAUGCUGCUUGCUGCAUCGAAGCGGUAGAUUGACCAUUCAAGAGUGUUUGCUGCAGUGUGAGCAAAACCCUCUGGACUAUCUGUCCUUUCCAAUAAUCAGCACAGCAAUAGAGUAUAAUUCAUUUCCUUCCCUCAAGGGGCAAGGACAUGGUGUAACCGUUGUCCGCACCCGGAUUGAAGGGGGUGCGAAGGCUGUCAGGACAAACGGAACACUUGCACUGCAGCAUGUGCGAGCCAUCUAUUCCCGCAGCUCUGUUUUCUUCUGGUUUGAAGUAGGAGAAAAGGUAGAAAAUGCUGUACACUAGUAAUAUGAUGUAUUCUUGUAUCUAUGUCACCCUAGUGUCUGGUAAAGUCACCCUUGUAUUCCUGUUUGUUGUAACUUUUAUGAUAACCGCUGCUUUUGAUUGCAAAGGAACAUCUUGCUGUUUGGAAGUCAAUCUUGAAGAGUUUAGUGGAGUGUACAAAUUCACGGUUGCCAUAGAUAAAAUUUUCCCCAGUUUUUGGAUCGGCCGCUCAGGUUAUUGAUUGGAUGGUUGUAAUGUUUAUGUCUUGCGCGUUGGAUGGCGUUAUUUGAACGAGGACAGGCGGGGGACCAAUCUGGCUUUACCCUGCAAGUUCUACUUAAUGCAUAGCUCUGUUAACUUGUCCUGUUGUGUUGCUGACUGCUGAAGCGAAAAUUCAGAUACCGGUGUACUAGGAUUUACAGUGAAGUUGUGUAGAUCCCUCUGUUUAGGUGCGUUUGGUUCAACUUCUUAUUUUUAGUCCGUGUCACGUUGAAGCUUCGAAGACUAAUUAGGAGGACUAAAUAUGAGUUAAUUAUAAAACUAAUUGCACGGAUGGAGGCUAAACGGCGAGAUGAAUUUAUUAAGCUUAAUUAAUCCAUCAUUAGCAAAUGUUUACUGUAGCAACACAUUGUCAAAUCAUGGAUUAAUUAGACUUAAUAGAUUCGUCUCGCCGUUUAGCCUCCACUUAUGUAAUGGAUUUUAUAAAUAGUUUACGUUUAAUAUUUCUAAUUAGUAUCUAAACAUUCGAUGUGACGGGUGUUAAAAAUAAGCCAAAGUAAUCGCCUUAUUGUACAUGCGAUAUAGCAGAGGAGUUGGGUGAUUCGUUGUUGAUCCGUGGGACAAUGGCUGACAGAACAUUUCAUUUUCUCCUGCCCUGAUACAGUUGCAAUUGAAGUCCAUGUUGAUUAGUUACUGUUGGCCAUAAAUGCAUAAUUGCUCAGGCUGUACACAGGCCUCUGUCCUGUUCUUGGUACGAUGGUCGAUGGGUGGAAGAGGUGCCCCAAAGCUGGUAAAUGUGCGCUGUAAUUUGUCCCUUGUUACCGCUUUGCUGAAAGUUAAGCAAAUGUUAAUUAGCAGAGUAAAAAAAGAAGAGUGAGGUGAAAGGAGGGUGGAUCCGUUCUAGUUAGUCGUGACGUUUAAUAGAGAAACUUGUGGGGAGAUUGACAGUAUCAAUUCAAAACAAGUUGCAACGGUUGUCUCAGGCCACUGGACCAUUGGACAAAUUUACUACUACAUGUUCACGUGUAAAUCUCCGGCAAAACAAUCCGUUCCUGUUGUUUCUUCUUUCUUGGAACGGCAUGCUUGAUUGGGUAAUUCGAAUCCCCGUUGUUGUUUGCUUUUUCAGUCUCUGGAUGUCCACUCUGCUAAAGCUGACUUGUCUUCAGAAUUGCCAAAGCUGAACUUCCACUUUCAGUACCGUCACUGCAAAAGAUGUAAAGCUCUCAGCUUUCAGUUUUUUCUAUUAUAAUCCUAAGUGAAUAUUCUUCAAAAUGUACUAUCGCAAGUGUUUUCAAGACAAUUUCAUUUACCCCGCUCCCCAUUUAUUAAAAUCUAGAAAAUGGAAUAAACGAUUUUACCCUUGAUCUCUGCAUCAAGCAGGUCCACAUACUGUAUUUAUGAAUAAUACUCCAUUUUUAAAAAAAACUUGUCAAUUUAAUUUAAAGCCCUGCUUCCAAACCCCGAGGAGGUAAAAGAAGGCCACCCGUAACUUUCUCUCGCAGAACUCGGGGGAAGUGAGUGAGAGAGAGAGAGAGAGAGAGAGGUGGGGGCAGUCCUUUAAUUCGAACGCCGUUGCCUCCUCUCUCGAGCCCUUCUCCUUGGCGUCACGCCAGAGCCCAGCCGCCGCCCGGAGAUCGAAUCCUCUGCCCUGGCAUCCUGCUCCGAUCGCGGCUCCCCUCUGAGGUGAUGCAUUGUUCUCACUUGGUUUCGUCUUGUUGCUUCUAGUGGGGUUUCGGAGGAAAGGUUGGCGUUUUUAAAUCUUGGGACGUUGCAGUGCUCCUGCGGUUCUUGUUCUUUUUUGCUCAAAAAUGUGAGCGUGAGAUCAGGAGUGCGGGCGCCUAGAGCGCGCGCGGUGGUUGCGGAUUAGGGUUCAGGUUCCUUCUGUUUGGGGAAUUUUUGCCGCUCUGGGACUGAUCGGAGUAUUUUCCUAGUAAUGUCGAGAUGCUGGGUUUAUUGAUUAAAACUGUUUUCCCCCAUUGGUGUUUGUAUGUAUUAGCUUAAAUGUUAAAUGCACCGUAAGCUAUAGUUGGUUACCCGUCAGGCCGUCACAUUUUGGGUUGGGUCUCUUACUCUCUUGGUGGCUGCAUCUGAGAAGCUCUGUUAUUGUUAUUCUUUUCUUAGUUUUAACACUAUGAUUUAUACAUGUGAGACUUUUUCUUGUUUCUAAGAGAUUAUAUUGGAUUUGGUGUUUUAUUUUUUGGUUCUUCGUAGGCAUAUAAGCUCACCAUUCCGUUUCUGUGCAAUUAUAAUAGAUCAUCAAUUUCAUGUGCCUAAAACUUCAUGGAAUCUUUUAGGCUCAGGCCAGUUUGCCUCGGUUUCCCUUCCCUAAAUAAUGAAGACUAUUAAUUUCUAGCAUGAUGUGCUCGUUCUCUAAUUUGAGUUAUGAUGCCAAUAUCUUUCUGGCAACAUGUUGCCAUAAUUCGGCUGGUCCGCCAUUUCUGUAUGCCCACUGCCAAAAUUCAGGGUUUCUGUCAACGGGCAAUUAUUAGAGAUCUAGCAAUUCUUUAGACGAAGACUCGAGGAGGAAAUAAGCUUUAUGUGAUGAACUGUCCUUUUUGGGGGUAUUCAUUGCAACUGUAAGUAGCUGCUGGUCUUCUGCUUUUGGAGCAAUACAAGGUGUAGUGGAUGUUGAUGGAAGUGGCAGUGUGGCACACUUUUCCCUUUCAUUCUCUACCACUCCAUCAUUUACCUCUACCACCAACUUUCCCAUUACACCUUUGUGCUCCUUACUCCUUAGAACCGCGGUCUUCUUGUUCCUUCAGGGAGUGAAUUGGGCCCAGAUUAGCUGGCGUCCUUUCCAACUGAGCUCAUGGCUAUGGAUGGAUAGCGUAGUUUCUCUUUAAUUCGACCUGUGAGCAAAAUAUAGGUCUAGGCAUCUAGUUAGUACCUUCACUGAAAAAUUGAUUCAAACAUGUAUUCAAACCACAAAGGAACAAUUGUCUGGAAAAUUUCAACUGAAUGCACUCUGGAGUCUGGACUCUGUGUUGGUUAAAAUGGUUACUUGAAAGUCCUGUGAAUAUACCAGGUAUCAUGGCCCUUUCCCUGUGUGUAGUAGUAACAUAUCACUGGCCAUGUUUCGAGUGCAUGAGUCUUCCCGGUCAAAUUGUUGCUUUUGAAAUUCUUGCUUUUUAAAUUAUCAUUUUGUUGGGUCAAACUUUCAAAGCUUCAUAAAAGUCCAAGGCUCCAAGCCCAUGAAGUGCUUAUGAUUUCCAUUUUGUUAAUGUGGUCUCUUAUAUAACCUUUAUGUGGGGUCAACAACAUUACUGUAAGUCUUAGCUUUUACAAUACUCUUGAAGCGUUGUCCAAUUAUAUCAUGAUUCCCUUGGGAUUGUGCGCCCAGCAGGAAGGUUAUGUGCUUCGAUUAGGCAAUUAUUUAUUGUUUAUUAUCUUAAAAUACUUCUGCGGAUGAAAAUUUUGCUUCUAAUUUUUAAAUAUCUUUUUGUUGACUUGUAUGCUUAACAUCUUUCCCUCCUGCUCACUUUUUUCUCCAAAUAGGAUUCUGUACCAAUAGGCAUCCCCAUGGCAUCAGUUACUUAUAUUGAUGAUAGCCAUGCUGAGGUUAUUGAUCCUCCAAAGAAUGAGGAGAUGUUGGAUGUCACUGAACUUGUUGGUGAACAUAUCCAGCAUUCACCGAAACCAAAUGUGACAAGUUAUGGCAAUGUGCGUGAGCUACUGGAAUGCCCUGUGUGUUUGAGUGCCAUGUAUCCUCCAAUUCAUCAGGUACAACUCUCACUCAACUUCAAUUACAUUUUGUUAGCAUUUACUUGUAAUAUUCUGUAUUUGUUCUAGGCUUUUAACAUGCCAUGUGUAUGUCAGUACAUAUGACUAUUGGGAAUUUGUAGCUUAGGCAGAGUUGAGAUUUUGAGGAUAUGCUCUCCUUUCGAAUUACAUUUUACAAAGCAAACAUUAGCCAGUUAGUCACUGUUUGAAAUAAAGCGUAGACACUGCCGUUUCCCAUUUUCAUUUUUCACAUUGUCUGUGAUAUGACGUAUACAUCUUUUCAAAUGUCUUUUUGGAGGAACUGAUAUUUUGUAGGGUCCAGUAUAUUAGAGCUUAUCUGCAAAUUCUUAAGCCUGAAUAGGAGGUUGAAUUUGUAUGUUUGUUCUUUAAGAAUGUUUUCAAAUGUGUUUGUGCAGUGCUCCAACGGACAUACUCUGUGUUCUGGAUGCAAGCCAAGGGUUCAUAAUCGUUGCCCAACAUGCAGGCAUGAACUGGGUAACAUAAGAUGUCUUGCUCUGGAAAAGGUGGCUGCAUCACUAGAGCUUCCAUGCAAGUACCAGAACUUUGGGUGCUUGGGCAUAUACCCUUACUAUUGCAAGCUGAAACAUGAAUCACAAUGCCAAUACAGACCCUAUACUUGUCCAUAUGCUGGAUCUGAAUGCACAGUUGCUGGUGACAUUCCAUAUCUAGUAAAUCACUUGAAAGAUGACCACAAGGUUGACAUGCACAAUGGAAGCACUUUCAAUCAUCGUUAUGUUAAAUCAAAUCCUCAUGAAGUUGAGAAUGCCACCUGGAUGCUCACGGUAAUGCUCUCAAAUCUCUCUAAUUUACGAUCCUGUCAUGAAGUUCAUGUUUUUGCAUUUUUUUUACAUGUACUGAUUGACCUGGAUCUUUCUCGGUAUAAGUUCAUGUCACUAGGAUGCCAUAAUUUUUAACAUGAGAUCUUUACCGAUCUCAAUCUCUUGGGUAACUUUGUAUAUAUAGGUUCCUAUGAUCUGGUUUUAGCAUUAAAUUUGUUUCCUUUUUUAUUGUUAACCAAGCGCACAUUUAUAAGCACGCUAGUCAAAAUGCUCACUACCCAAGCAAGUGCAUGCUUGCCAUCAUCAACUCUAUCACUCAUGAUACUCACCACUGACAGAAAGUGAAUGCUUGCCAUCAUUAGCUCAUCGCUUGUUUGGGUAGGAGAAUAUGGUUCUACAACCUUUCAAAGCCUGUCUUGUGUUGUGGUUUCGUUUUCCAUGGUAACCCGUAUGCCUUAGCUAAUCACAGAAUCAUCCUCCAGGUUUUCAGCUGCUUCGGCCAGUACUUCUGUCUGCACUUCGAGGCAUUCCAGCUGGGCAUGGCACCUGUCUACAUUGCCUUCCUCCGGUUCAUGGGCGACGACGCUGAAGCUAAGAACUACAGCUACAGCCUUGAAGUUGGAGGCAGUGGCCGUAAGAUGACAUGGCAAGGCGUCCCUCGGAGCAUCAGAGACAGCCACAGGAAAGUCCGGGACAGCUAUGACGGGCUCAUCAUCCAGAGGAACAUGGCCUUGUUCUUCUCGGGUGGCGACAGGAAGGAGCUCAAGCUGCGGGUCACCGGGAGGAUCUGGAAGGAGCAGUAGCGAACUGCAAGAGCUAAAUGCAUUGAGUUGCUCUGCUUGGUGCCCAUGCAUGAAACAUGGAUCCAUGAUGAAUCAGAAGUUCAGAACUGAUGUCUAAGGGAAUCGUAGCUGUCAGAACUUAGGACAUGGUAAUAUCGUAGACUGCAUUAGUAGCAGGUAGUUGGGAUCUAUUAUUUGUGGAUGGUUAACUUAUGGUGCUGAUGUAGUAGAACCAAAGGCAAGUCUCUCUUUGCUUUGAACCUCUCUGGAGUCUAGAGUGAAAUGUAAAUGAUGUAGCUGGGUUUUUUUUUCUCUCUGUAUGGGACUCGUUCUAUGCCAGACCCACCAUUGUCUCUGGAUUCUGGAGAUGAACUAGCAGUAAUAAAUCUGCAGCAGCUAAGUUUUUCGUGUUGAUGAGAUCAGAGUGCAGGAUUGAACUGUUGAAGGAUGAUCGAUCGUGCACGUUGGGUGAGAUUCAGACGCUGCGCAAUCUGGAAUCGGAGUUGUUUGCUUAGAGGCCACUCACUGAUGAGCCCCGUCAGAUGUAACAGAAGCAGAGCUUGAGCAUGAGCCCCGUCAGAAGUACCCCGGGAACUGGGAGCGGUGGGUCAACGUGGCAACAUGGCCACAUCUAACUAUGAACAUGUGGAGGAGGAAGACACAUGGCCUCGUGAACAGACACUGAAACUUUUUCAUGGAACCGUGCGUGUGACGCCGAUGCGGACUCGGAUUCCAGCAGGCUCCCUGAGCCAUCGCGCUGCUGUCCCCGGGAAACGGAGCCACGAGGCCGUCCGGUCCGGUCGCGGUCGCCGUGCGCGCCCGGCAGGCCGAGGCCGCCGGGUACGCGACCGGCGAGCGGAAAAAUGCCCGUGUCGACGGCCACGGGGCAAACGGGAACACGCGCGCUCUCGGCUCGAGCCAUCUGGGGCGGAGUUCGUGCUGAACUGAACCAGAACAAGCAUAACGAAAGACAAAUGCAGCUACAAACAGCCGUGGAUUAUCGACGAACUUGAUCAGAUAUGCUGUUGACCUGUAGAUGGGAUAAUUUGAGACUGAACAGAGCUGCUAUCCUCGCCUUUCCUUUGAUCAUCACAAAACAAAUCAUAUGACCGCGUGCGAGUGGAUUUUGAGUUCCAUCACAUCAUGUGAGGAUUAUGCAUUACCAAUUCCACAGGCUUCAACAUUUCAAGACAAAAGUAACCACCGAAUAUGUCGAUAUAAAAAUCACAUCAUUUUCUCACAAGUUUGUAUUUGCAAAUCAGAGCAUAACAAUAAACAUUUUUUUUUAUAUAGGAGGGGGUGGGGGAACUCCCCUCUGAAUUUCGUUCUUCCGACCUUUGGCAGGUCAAUAAAACAGUUGCCUUAGAUGAUUUUCAGCAGGAUAUGAAAACAAGUCCGAAGCACCUACGGAGUAGUAUAACAUAACAUCGAACCUUAUGUUCCCUGAAAGCAUAGUAAUGGAUUUAAUCCUCUCUUUUUUUCAGUUCCAGUGGCCAUUGGCCAAUAGUCAAAGAACAUUCAGAUUUGCAUUGCACAACAUAGCCAGAUAACUGAUUUUGUACUGAGUAUUCUCCUUAUUACAUGUUCUCUUCAGUGCUUAUCAUGUUAACAAACUACCUUCUUCAGGUUCAGGGAGGGUCCAAUAAACUCCAGUUGCGUCAAUCAACAAGUUCUUCUGAAUGAAUUGAUAAAAGAAUCCUAAUGAUUUCAUGUCUGAGCUCCCGCCGCAAAGUUACAUUUAUUCAAGAUUAGUGCCCUACCAUAAAAGAACCGAAAAGCUGGGCGUAUGUAAGUUAUAAAAGGAGCUGAAGGACAACAUGAUAACAGUUAAGGAGCUUUAUAUUAGUUAUUGCAAAAGAAAAAAAAAGGAGCCUUAAGUUAGUACAGUUGGGUCAAUUCCUUUGUCUAAAAAUAUACUAGUAGUUGGAUCAUUUCCAGAUUACAGUUGUUUUGAGUUGCACGCAUGUAGAGCCCAUCUACUAUUCAGAUUUCAGAAAUGAAAAUGUCUUUCUGAAAUUUUCUCAGUUCUCAGCUAAAUAGAACUUCAAAUCUCCAACUAGUUCAGCAGGAAAGAUGAGAGGAAACCAAGAGCUGGACAAGAGAUGAAGAAAUUGAGCACCCCAAAGGCAAACUUUAGUAUUUACAUUAAUCGCACUAACAGCAGUGUCAAUCUUUCAUACAUCAGAUCAGAUACAUAUACAUAGAAGCCCAGUUCUUAUUCUCCAAUCACCAUCACCAUAUGGCAAUUUUGCAGCAAGGAGUCGAGAACAAUAUGUUCUUCUCCUUCAUGAGCAAAUCCGAUCUUCAAAAUGAUCGGAUACACACAAAUCCCACGCCAUGAAACCCGAAGGCCCCUCUUCUCUUUUUGUUGAUUCUACAACCUCUAAUCCUUAAAUUAGUAGCAUGAAUGGAAUGGGAAAGAUCGCGUCUCUGUUGGUGAUCAAGAACAGCAGUUAGCGCAGCGUACCAAUCCGUUCUCGUUGCACUCGCCGCAGCGGACGACGCGGUCCUCCUCCUCGACGAAGACCUUGCGGCUGCCGCCGCAGCCGAUGCAGGGGACGAAACGGACGCCGCCGCAGGCGUCGCAGACGUAGGCCGGAUCCUGGCCCGCUGCGCCCUCGAGGAGCCGCCGGAGCUGCCCCGUCUCGUGCAGUUGCCGCACCUCGUCCGCGCCGCCGACGAGGCGGCCGCCGAUGAGCAGCUGCGGGAGCGAGAAGGCGCGGCCGCGCACGGCGAGCAACGCCUGUAGAUCCCUGCGGAAGGCGGCGUCCAUGGACACGUCCCGCUCGUCGACGGCGACGCGGAACCCCCGCAGGAUGGCGCGCACCGCGGAGCAGUCCGUGAACGUGCGCCGCACCCCGCGCAGCGACGUCGUGUAGAGGACCACCGCCUGCGGCCGCUGCGCGCGCGGCUCGUCCGCGAGCUGGCUCCGCCGCCACUUGGCCGCCGACGCCCCCGCCGGCCGGUGCCCCUGGUGGUGGUGGUACGUCAGCGACCGCGCCAACUGGAACGGCUUCUUGCCGCAGCUCCCGCCGCCGACUCCGGCCGCGACGCCGCUGCAGUCUUCCAUCUCACGCGACGACGGCGCAGCACCAGCUGCCCGCGCCGCCGUAGGAGAAGGUGAGGUCAGGUUCUUUGGCUAUGGCGGUUACCCGGACGCGAGGAAAGGGGGAAGAGGAAGACGAAGAAAGCGAGUUGUGGAAGCAAGCGAAGCGAGAAAUGGAAUUCGCCGUGGGGAAGGUGGGGUAUCGGAGGCGUAUUUAUAUUUUUUCUUGUGGUGGUGGUAAUUUUGACGGCGUUCUUGUUGGUUUUUUUUCUUGGUGUUGGUUGGGUGAUUAGCAAGGUCAUUAGGCGGUGAUUAAAUGGUAUUAGUACCAGAACUGGUGAUUAUUUGGGUGGUUAAUUAUUGUUAUUAGCUGAUUGGGAGCUGGACAUUGUUUUGGGUGAUUAGUAAUAACUAAUUACCUUUUUUCUGUUUGUUGUUGCUUAAUUUUGAAGAAAUUGUUUCUUUGGUUAGUUUUGGGUGGUUUGUUAAUCUCAGUGGGCUUUGGGUGUUGGGGUUGGACCCGUUGUAGGCAGCUGGGUGAAGUGGGCGGGCGUGACUUGCACAAACGGGCAGAGGAAGGUUCCUGAACGUCUUGCCACUCAGCUAAACGUGAGCCUGUCAUUUUCCCCGUCUUCUUUUUCUUUCCCCCUUUCUUUACGCGAACCACGAAUUUUUGUUAUACAAACAGAGUAAAAAUUGGCUACAUUAUUCUUCAUUUUGUACGAGCGACAUUUAUCAAGCGCUUUUGAAAAUAACUGGAACUGUAAUUGGGCACGGGGCACGGAAACAUUUUGACAGUUUUCAAGUACUCCCUCUGUCCCUUUUUAUCUAUCUCUAAAAAACCAUGUUUCCCUCACAAACCUUCUUCUCGAGCGACAAAUAAUAAGGAACGGAGGGAGUACAUACAUACAGGCAUGGACAUUGGGCAGACGGCUAAACCAUGUCCAAAAAUACCUCAGGUCCAUGGCAGAUGAUACUUCAACUUACCGUUAAAGUUGGAAAAAAAUCUACAUAACCCCCUCACCUAUUGCAAGAGUCUACUUGACCCUCCAAACUACAAAAUCAGAUAUUUUACCCUCUAACUUUGCAAAACCGUUUAUUUGCCCCCCUUUCCUGGUUUUACACGGUGGUUUUGCUAUGUUGGCCCGCUGAGGUGGACGUAGUUGUUGAUGUGGACCGCUAACACGUGGGUCCCACUCAUAACAUAUAAUAAAAUAAAAAAACUUUCUCUUCUCUCUAGCUAUCCAGCAUGUCGUCAUCUUCCUGGAGUUCCUCACUUCUUCUCUCUCCCCGUACAGGAACACCAGACAGCAAACAGCAACCGGCAAAAUCCGCACGUUUCCAUUCUUCUUUGCCGGCACCGGCGGUUAAAAUAGGUCUCCCUCUAAAGCCUCUAUCUAAUCCACUCAAUUUGAGGGACCCUUUGCAAAUCAAGUCAUCGGGAGCUCCAAUCCUCCGCGUUGCGUAUUUCUUCGUGUUCAAGGGUGAAUCCAUGUUUGCUGCAGCUGGGAGCUAGUCACCGCGGCCGGCAACUGCUUCGAUUCGAAUGACGUAUCCCUUCUUCCACUCCAUUCCUUUCCUGUCGCACUGACCUUCCUCCCCCAAAUCUGCUGUGAGCGCGAGCUCGUGAACGAGGGUGGACGAAGAGCAGAGCCGCAGGCAAGCAAGACGAUGAGUGAAGGGCGACCCAGUGCACCACGGCGAACUGGUGGAGUGUGGUGCUCAGAUUCGUGAAGACCGUGGCGGCCUGUGGCUCAACGGUGCCGCAGCCGGCAGGGACCUGGCGGACGGUGACGACAGCCGACGGGGAUGCGGCGGCGACACGGUGGGCGGCUGCAUGGCUUUAGGAACGCGGUGGUAUUCGGGAAAGGCGGCUUCAGCUUCGCGGGUCAGCAGCCGGCAGGUGUCCGGCUUGGGAGAUGGCGACGGCCGGCUUCCUCGGUGCCUGGAGGCUCUAGUUGCGGAAGGGAAGAAGCGUGCGCACCCUUACAAGUGGGACCCAUCUGUCGUCAGAUCCACGUCAGCAAUUCGGUCCAAACCAGCAAAGGGGUUAAAGUAAACGGUUUUGCAAAGACGAGGGGGUAAAAUACCUGGUUUUGUAGUCGAUGUGACACGUGCUAAAAAAUAAGUAAAGGGAAUCAAACGCCCCUUAAGUAGUCUGUUUGCAAUAGGUGAGGAAGUUAUGAUAGACUUUUUCCUUAAACUUGCAAGUACUACGUGUCUACAGCUUGAGAAGCAUAACAUCCCCCACACGCAUUGCAAAUGCUGGAGAGCAUAAGCUCUACAAGGGAACAAUACCAUGGUCCUGGAUCAUGGACCAACAUGGACGCAUGCAUCUUCAUAAGUUCUUGCUUUUUUGGGCCCAAAUCAUCUGGCAUCCUAGCUGUUGAUGAUCAAUGCCACUCCAUGAUCGAUUAAUGCGAUGCGUGUUAGUACUAACAUGGAUUUGAUGGCGCAUCGUUGGCGGUUGGAGCUUCAUGUCUCUCUGUGACGGGAAGUGAGUAAUGGACACACAGAAAUUUAAAUUUCAUUAUUUGGUUUACUUAAACAUAUUGAUUGUUUUUAAUAUUCAAAGCAAAACAGUGUCCAACAAUUUACAGAGGAAUACCCGAGAUCAAAAGGGGAAAAAUAGAAUAUCUGAGAUUCAGCGUGGAAGGUGUGCUACAGACAGAGUUCAGAAGGGAGCGAACUGAAAGAGCUAAGGGGGUGUUUGGAUCCUGGAGCUAAAGUUUAGUCCGUGUCACAUCGAAUAUUCGGAUGCUAAUUAGAAGGACUAAACAUGAACUAAUUACAAAAUUAAUUGCAGAACCCCUAGGCUAAAUCACGAGACGAAUCUAUUAAGCCUAAUUAAUCCAUCAUUAGUGAAUGUUUACUGUAGCAUCAUAUUGUCAAAUCAUGGACUAGAUAGGCUUAAUAGAUUCGUCUCGCGAUUUAGCCUAGGGGUUGUGAAAUUGGUUUUGCAAUUAGCCUAUGUUUAAUACUCCUAAUUAGUGUCAAACAUUCGGAGCUAAAAUUUAGCCCGGGGAUCCAAACACCCCCUAAACACACGAGCGACGAGUCGACGAUGACUGCAAAAUUGACAUAGAAUAUGCAACUGUCACCAGAUACAGAAGAUGAAUUCUUUUCUGACGAGACCUUUGGCCUGUUUGUUUUUUAUCGACUAUGGUUGAUUCGGUCGUUUCACGCGGUUUGCGCUCGUUAUACUUUUCAAAGAGCAGGAAAGUUUUGUCGCCCCCCCCCCCCCCCCCCCCCCCCCCCCCCCCCCCGCACUUACUGGAUCAGAUUCUGAACCUGCAGAAUUUUGUAACAGCACUAAGGAUUCCUGAAUUCACUUGUUUUUGUUAAGCUGUCCAUCACACUGGGUAAAACUCGACCAACACGCAUAAUGCCAUAGUCAAACGUAAGAUGCCUGAGAAGCCCUGACGUAAGCUCAUAUAUCACUGUCCGUUGGGAAUAGCCUUGACAUUGUGAGCACUUUUCAUCCAUAGAUCCAUUACCAUCUUGUAUUUGGAGGUAAAAACAAGUGUUCCAUUUUCGGUUAGGAAAAAUGCAGCAAUAAGAGUGUACCUUUUACUGCUCACGGAAAGAGGCCUUUUUCAACCAUUACCAUCUUGCAUUGUGAAGCAAAAAGUGCUCAUUUUUGUUUUUUUGAGAGGAAAAAAGUGUUUAAUUUGAUCCAUGGUACUAGCAUUCCAUUGAAAAUGAAGACCGGACCUUUUAAUCUCACAAAGAUGACUUUUGCAACAAGAAUAACAGAUUUUACAUCAACGAGUGAAAAAUUCAAUGACAACAGUCACUAAUCGUUGUGCAGAGCACACAAACAUGUUUCCAUGUCAAUGGAAGGGACUAAAUUCUGAAAAGUUCUUUCAAGAUCCUCUACGUCUUUAUCCAAUUCCAGACAGAAAGCAAGAAAGGCGGCAAAAACAUUCCGUCCUGCAACGAGAAGAAAAUGCUUACGAAAGGAGUAAGCUAGGGGUUUGGCACAAAUUGGAGUUUGCCUUGUGAGCAAAGCUACAGGAACCGAAAGUUAUUUGAACCAAGAGGGCAUCAAUAGCAACACGAAAGAUGCAGGUAAUGUGUCAUUUCAGAUCAAGUGGUAGGUUAUGCAGCUAAAGCGAAUAUGCUUUCUUUUCACUAGUCUUCAGACUCAAGUUACCAUUACAUGGCAGUGUGCCGUCUCUAUGAUUAUUCUUGCAGACUAUGACUGUUCUUCUCAUGUUAUUCAGAUGCAAAAUUGCAACCUGCUGAACCUACUAAUGAGUACGAGUGAUGUGAUAUUCAGAUACCAUGCAUAUAUCUGCUACCAACAAACAAUUCGACAGUGUCACACAAGUCUUGUACGUCUGCAGGCUAACCGAUUCAGAGAGAUAAUCUGAUAAGGAAAUCUAAUCUGCUCUUAGGCUGCUGUUUUUUCAGAGAAAGAUGAGCCAUCAGCUAUCAACUUACCAUCAGCCGGUCCCGGAUAAAGUGCUGAAAGAACAUGCCAAUGAUUACUCGAAGGCAAUCACAAUUUUCAGACCAACGUGCCACAACAAGUUACCAGCAACGGCGUCUAUAAGCGAUGAACAUUCUCGCGGCACAUCAAUCAGUUGAGCCAUGCUCUUCCAUACCUCUCCGUCGAACUGUUUCCUCAGGAUCAUGGGCCAUGGUGCUCCAUGCCUGCCUGCCUUGUUGCAAUGCUUGUUUGGUCGCCAUCAGUUCAUGAGUCGUCAACGUCUUGAUACCGACAUCGGUCAAAAUGCUACCUUCCUUCUCGAUCAUGCCUCGCUGCUUGUACAAUGCAUAUGGCCAUUGCUGAUCCAUAUGGAUCAUAUCGAGCCCUGCCUGCUGCACAAGCAGUUCUGUGACCUUCCUUCUCGACGCGGGCAACAAACAGAUGACAGUGACGAGUCAUGGUCCUGGAGAUAGGAAGGGCCUGGAUGGGGAGCGAUCGCUGUUCCAUUGCAGGAAUUGCCCAAUGGCCAAUGAACAGCAAGGCACUUCAGAAUUCAGAUCCAGAUGAUUAUCGGAUUCAUUUUCAGAUUCUGUGCUUCCAAAGUUCAAAUAUCUCGCAGCCGCUGCAUCUGAUUGCUGCAUCCUGCAAUAACCAGAGAGGCAGGAGGAAUCGAGCUGCCUGCCCGCAGGUCGUCGCUGUCCUCUCAUACUCCAGCGCGGCCGCCAACGCGAGGCGCCGAGGCAGGACCUUGUAGGAAGCACGGAGAUAGUUCAAGCGCUGGGUGGUGCGUGUUUGUGCGGUGUUCAGAUCCGGCGCGGAGCAAUGGCGACGGCGGAGGCGUAUGCCUCCCCGUCGGUGUCCCCGGGCGCCUCGUCACAGACACCCUCCGCCGAGGCUGGUGAAGAUCUUGGAGCGCCCUUGUGCCGAAUGGGUAACAAUACAAAAGGUGCGGAGGCGGCGGAAGCCUCCGGGCUUGCCGUCGUCUCGCCGGGCGGCGGCCGCAAACGACCGGAGGAGGAACGCCGGUGAGAUCAGGAGAUCUCGCGGCUUAAACAGGACCGCGGUCAAAAGUUUUUGCAAACCAGCCCCUCGUUUGGAUCGCGACUAUUUUCUGCGAUCCAAAUAUUUACAAAUACCUUCUAACUUGGAUCGUGACUAUUCUCUGCGAUCCAAAAUUUACAAAUAACCCCCUAUUUAGAAUCGUGAUUAUUCUCUGCGAUCCAACUUAUUUUCAAAAUAGCCCCUUUUUUCAUUUUCGUUUCGGCUGUUAGCGUCCCUCGCUCUUCCAUUGCUAUGGAUUUGCCGCCACCGGUGACAUGGGUUUGCCGGAGACCCGCAGCCGGUGGUGCAUUCGAAUAUCUCAGUCUCGAUUCCGCUCAUAUUUUCUAUCCCCAUUCUCCUCUUUUUUUAUGAAACAAGAGGGGAGGUACCCUGUUGAUUAUAUAUAAAAAAAUUUAAAAGAGUACAAAUUACAAAGGUUCAAAUCAUGAAACCCAGAAGGUGUGAAAGAAAAUAAGAAAGAUUACAAUGUGUGCUCUAGCCAUUGAGAUAUGGGUUCUUUCCAGGCUUCCUUUACUCUAUGAACAACUGGAGCGUAGACUGAUUUGAAUCGAAAUGUGGUUCCUUGAAUUGUUGGAGAGAUGUUCUUGAAAAUCCAAUCAUUUUUAACCAUCCAAAUGCUCCAACACAUGAUGAUUAUAAUUUCCAUGAAAAAAAGGAACUUGCAGUUGAGCUCUGAAGCUUUCCAAAAUGGAGUACGGCUCAAGUUGCAGAUCAGGAAAUAAAUUUAUUUGUAUCCAGCACUCCUGUGCAAAGGGACAUGCUAGUAGAAGAUGAAAAAGAGUUUCUUCACUGUCAUUGUCACGGGGACAUAACACACAGACAUAAGAUGGCAAGGUCAUGUGUUUUCUUCGGAGGACAUCACGUGUGCUAAGCCUGUCCUUUAACAGCCAGAAAAACACUUUGUGCUUAUUUUGACACCUUGAUUUCCAAAGCCAAUUAAAAACCUGAUGAACCUUAAGAUAUUUAUAAGCCUUAGAUGAGGAGAACAAUGCAUUUCCCCAUAUGUAUGUCCAAGUAUCUGAAUCAUCAUCAGAGAGGGGCAAAUCUUCUAGGUCAGCAGCUAGCUGAAAUAGCUGAUUGAAAGCUUGAGAGGGCAGUGGUUGUUGUAAAUCCUCAAUUUGAUAUGCUCUUUGAAGUGUGAUGUCCCUCUUCCUGGUGAAUGAAAAAAAGUUGUGGAUAGACUUGUGCUGGAAUCUGUAAUUUCUAUUGGUCAUACCAUAGUAAGCAUGUACUGCCAUCCUUGACUGUAACUGUUGUAGGACCCUUAAAUUUAUCCAGCAAUUUGAAAAAUGUCCUUCUACCAGAAAGAGCCUUUUUUUAACCUGACCUGGUAGCUUGCCAUUAGCAUAGAUUUUUCCCAUACAAGUUAACCAUACAAGUUAACCCAAGGAAUAUCUGCUUUAUUGAAGAAUUUAUGCAGAUAUUUAAGAAGUAAGGCUUCAUUUUGUGUUUUGAGAUUAAGGACACCUAGACCACCUUCUUUCUUUGGGAGAAUGACCAUCUCCCAAGCAGCUUUGGGUGGCUUCUUAUUAUUAAUAUCAGAUCCCCUCCAAAAAUAAUAUUUUUUGUAUUUAUCCACCUAUUUGUAAACUGUUUUUGGUAGCAAAAAUGUGCACAUGUGGAACAUCGGCAAAGCAGUGAGAAUGGAGUUGGUCAAUUGAAGCCUCCCUACCAGGAAAUUUGAAGUUGACAGUAAUCUCCUUUCUGGACACCAUAAGAAUGAAUUCUUGAAUUCUUGGUUUUGACAGACCUAAAGGCAGCCCCAAAUAAGUGAAGGUACUGUGCCAAUUGAGUAUCCGAACAGUUGAGAGAGAUUUUAUCCGCCGCUUGAGGUAAAGACCGCGUCCAAAUUCAGUUUGCCGGAUUGGGAUUGGGAAUUGUCAGGUUCUGAUGUGGCCUAGGCCUGCUUAUCACGGAUCUUUGCUUGCCGCUUGCGUCUGUUGAGGUGAGAUGCAUCAAGCCAUGAGGGUUCGAAUUGGAAGAUUGUGUCCUGUGAGAUGCAUGUUUUGGGAGUGACAAUCUGACAGCGAAAUUGUAACCUGCUUCCCGCGCCUGCUCUCAUCAGCCGGUCCCCAUGAUCGAUUUGAGUUUACAAGAGAAUCAGCAUAGCAAAGUGCGGCGGCGGCGAGGAGGGGCUGCCGCGCCAGCGCACGAAACCCUGGUUCAUCCUGCUCAGUUCUGUAAUGCCCGGUCGCCUCCGCGUCGGAGUAUCCUGUAACCCAACUCCUAAUAACCUAUUCACGAUUUUUUGUUUUUCCUUUUUACUAGUACUUCAGAAUUACAAUUAUUUUGGAACUCAAAUUCCUACAAACGAACUCCACCUAGCAAGCAGCUUGCAGCUCUCUGCUCUCAAGCCUGUGACCAAGGACGCCCAGCUCCCAUUGCACAAGAACAAGAUAGAAUCUGGAGGAAAAGGAGAGGGAGAACAGGAUAAUACUGAGUGUGGACUCUCUGCAACGCCCCCGUUUGAAAGAAUAGAAAGAAUGAAAGAUAUACAAGAACAUACACUAGCUAUGCAAAUUUAUCCAAUCUUGUCUCAUCUUAGGAGGGAUGCAUAUGCUAGAGAAUAGACCCUGUGCAUCGUGUAGAAAAAUUCGUACUGGAUUACCGAUGUACAGGAACAUGUGAGUACGCACGCAAAAUUGACUGGCGAUCUGGUUCAAGAUGAAUCACUCCGACGACACGGAUGAGCGAGCGCUCCUGAGGGCGCGCGCGACGUCGUAGGCGAUGGCGAGGAAGGAUGAGACCCAGCCGCCGAGCAUCGCCAACACCAUCUCCGCCAGGGACACCUCCACCCUCCAUGGCACCAUCGACAACCAGCUUGCGCAACGGCCAACGGCAACUGCUCUCUCUGCAGCCAAUCCGAUGGAAAGAGGCGAUAAACCGA